UGGGGAAUAUUGCACAAUGGGCGCAAGCCUGAUGCAGCCAUGCCGCGUGUGUGAAGAAGGCCUUCGGGUUGUAAAGCACUUUCAGCGGGGAGGAAGGCGGUGAGGGUAAUAACCUCAUCGAUUGACGUUACCGACAGAAGAAGCACCGGCUAACUCCGUGCCAGCAGCCGCGGUAAUACGGAGGGUGCAAGCGUUAAUCGGAAUUACUGGGCGUAAAGAGCACGCAGGCGGUUGAUUGAGUCAGAGGUGAAAUCCCCGGGCUUAACCCGGGAAAUGCAUAUGAUACUGGUAAGCUAGAGUCUUGUAGAGGGGGGUAGAAUUCCAUGUGUAGCGGUGAAAUGCGUAGAGAUGUGGAGGAAUACCGGUGGCGAAGGCGGCCCCCUGGACAAAGACUGACGCUCAGGUGCGAAAGCGUGGGGAGCAAACAGG
rnacentral:rRNA from 1 species